ACAUGCAAGUGUAGGGAAGCCGAAGGUGACGACCCUCGGGAGCUUGCACAGGUGCUGCAUGGCUGUCGUCAGCUCGUGUCGUGAGAUGUUCGGUUAAGUCCGCUAACGAGCGCAACCCUCGCUGUGUGUUAUAUGUGUCACACGGGACUGCCGGUCUUAAGCCGGAGGAAGUGGGGAUGAUGUCAAGUCAGCAUGGCCUUUAUAUCCUGGGCUACACACACGCUACAAUGGCCAACACAAUAGGUUGCUAAGCCGCGAGGUGGCGCCAAUCCAUAAAGUUGGUCUCAGUUCAGAUUGUAGGCUGCAACCCGCCUGCAUGAAGAUGGAGUUGCUAGUAACCGCAGGUCAGCUAUACUGCGGUGAAUACGUUCCCGGGGCUU
rnacentral:rRNA from 1 species